UGCGGCUUUGGUAGCACUUGUACAAAAUUGGAAAGUUGCAGAGAUUAUUGUGGCCCCCGUGGAGGGAUAACGCACAAAUUCGUGAAAUGGUCCAUGUUUUU
rnacentral:snRNA from 1 species